UGAAAGCACAUUUUCAAAAGCAUAUGUGGGUUUGUGUCUCAGAGAACUUCAGUGUUCCUGAUAUUGUCAAGGGGAUAAUUGACACUGCAAUUGGGAAUGAUUGUGGACUGAAGAGUGAUAACCUGGAAUUGCUACAACAACGUCUCCGGGAAGAACUGAGCCAAAAGAGGUACCUCCUUGUACUAGAUGAUGUUUGGAAUGAAGAUGAACAAAAAUGGGAGGCUCUAAGAACAUUGCUUUGUUCCUGUAAAAUGGGAAGUGCGGUGGUUGUCACUACCCGAAAUUCGAAUGUUGCGUCAGUCAUGGGGACAGUUCCUCCAUUGGCUCUAGAACAACUUAGCCAAGAAGAUUCCUGGACUCUAUUCUGUGAAAGAGCGUUCCGUACAGGUGUGGCCAAGUCUUGUGAGUUUGUCGAGAUUGGUACAAAAAUUGUUCAAAAAUGUUCUGGAGUCCCAUUAGCAAUAAAUAGUAUGGGAGGCCUGCUGAGUAGAAAACAUAGUGUAAGGGAUUGGCUGGCGAUCCUUCAAAACAAUACUUGGGAGGAAAAUAACAUACUGACAGUCCUAUCAUUGAGCUACAAACAUCUACCUUCUUUUAUGAAACAGUGCUUUGCUUUUUGUGCUGUAUUCCCAAAGGACUACGAGAUUGAUAAGGAUGAUCUAAUACAUCUGUGGAUAUCAAAUGGAUUCAUUCCAUCUAAAGAGACCUCGGACAUAGAAGAAACUGGGAACAAGGUUUUUCUGGAGCUUCUUUGGAGAUCAUUUUUCCAAAAUGCGAAGCAAACUCGGUCCCGCAAGGAAGAGUACAUAUAUGGGUACAAAGAUGUAACUACAUGCAAAAUUCAUGAUCUUAUGCAUGAUCUUGCAGUUUCUAUAAGCGGGGAUGAGUGCUAUACUUUGCAAAAUCUUGUUGAAAUAAAUAAAAUGCCGAAGAAUGUCCAUCAUCUAGUUUUCCCACAUCCACACAAGAUUGGUUUCGUGAUGCAGCGUUGUCCAAUUAUCCGAAGUCUAUUUAGUUUACAUAAGAAUCAUAUGAAUUCUAUGAAGGACGUCAGAUUCAUGGUGUCCCCUUGUAGAGCGCUUGGGCUUCAUAUCUGUGACAAUGAAAGAUUCUCAGUUGAACCAGCAUAUAUGAAGCACUUGCGGUAUCUUGAUUUAUCCUCUAGCGACAUAAAAACACUCCCUGAAGCGGUCAGUGCACUGUACAAUUUACAAAUACUAAUGCUCAAUAGAUGCAGGGGCCUGACUCACCUGCCUGACGGCAUGAAAUUUAUGAUCAGCCUUCGCCAUGUGUACCUUGAUGGUUGUUCUAGUCUACAAAGGAUGCCGCCGGGUCUAGGGCAGCUCAGCAGUUUACGAACAUUGACAAUGUAUAUGGUUGGCAAUGAAUCUGAUUGUAGACUUCAUGAACUCAAGGACUUAGAACUUGGGGGCAAGCUACAAAUACAUAAUUUGCUGAAGGUAACAAAUCCGUUACAAGCAAAAGAAGCCAACCUUGAGAAUAAGAAAAAUCUGCAGCAACUAGCACUUUGUUGGGACUCACGAAAUUUCACCUGUUCACAUUGUCAUUCUGCAGAUGAAUAUUUGCAAUUAUGCCGUCCUGAAGAAGUGCUGGAUGCUCUUAAGCCUCCCAACGGAUUAAAAGUUCUAAAGCUAAGGCAAUAUAUGGGCUCCAACUUUCCAAUGUGGAUGGAAGAUGGUGUGACACUGCAAAAUAUUGUUAAACUCAGUUUGAGAGGCUCUGUAAUGUGUGUCAAACUCCCACCAGUGUGGCAGCUUCCCUUUCUUGAAGUUCUCCGUCUCAAACGAAUGGAGAGGUUGAAAUACUUGUGUUACAGGUACCCCACUGAUGAAGAAUAUGGCAACCAAUUAGUGGUAUUUCAAAAAUUAAAAUUAUUGUCACUAGAAUGGAUGGAAUCCUUAGAGAACUGGCAUGAAUAUGACACUCAACAAGUGACAUCAGUUACUUUUCCAAAGCUGGACGCCAUGGAAAUUAUAGACUGCCCAAAACUGACAGCACUGCCUAAUGUUCCGAUUCUUAAGUCUUUAAGUUUGACAGGAAACAAAGUACUGCUGGGGUUAGUGUCAGGUAUUAGUAAUCUAUCAUAUCUGUAUCUCGGUGCAAGUCAAGGGAGUUCACGGAGGGUAAGAACACUAUACUAUAUCUAUAAUGGAGAACGUGAAGGAAGCACUGAUACAAAGGAUGAGCAUAUUUUGCCCGAUCACUUGUUGUCAUGGGGUUCACUCACUAAACUACACCUACAAGGAUUCAAUACACCAGCACCAGAAAAUGUGAAGAGUAUAAGUGGUCACAUGAUGUCUGUGCAAGACUUAGUCCUGUCUUCUUGUGAUUGCUUCAUCCAACAUGAAGGAUUACAGUCACCACUAUGGUUCUGGAUAUCAUUUGGAUGCCUACAACAAUUAGAAAUCUGGUACUGUGAUAGCCUCACCUUUUGGCCAGAGGAGGAGUUCCGAAGCUUGACUUCUUUAGAAAAACUCUUCAUUGUAGAUUGCAAAAACUUCACGGGUGUACCACCUGACCGACUGUCAGCAAGGCCCUCUACAGAUGGAGGCCCAUGUAAUUUGGAAUACUUACAGAUUGAUCGCUGCCCCAACUUAGUGGUAUUCCCUACAAACUUCAUCUGCCUACGGAUCCUUGUGAUAACUGACAGUAAUGUACUUGAGGGCCUGCCUGGAGGAUUUGGUUGCCAGGGCACUCUAACAACUCUCGUAAUUUUGGGUUGCCCAAGUUUUAGCUCCCUGCCUGCCAGCAUUCGGUGUCUUUCAAAUCUGAAAAGCCUAGAACUGACAAGUAAUAACAGCUUAACCUCCUUGCCUGAAGGGAUGCAGAAUCUAACUGCUCUCAAAACACUACAUUUUAUUAAAUGUCCUGGUAUAACCGCUUUACCAGAAGGUCUCCAGCAAAGACUGCAUGGCCUCCAAACGUUCACCGUUGAAGAUUGCCCUGCUCUGGCGAGGAGAUGCAGACGUGGGGGAGAUUAUUGGGAGAAAGUCAAGGACAUUCCUGAUUUACGAGUGACAAGUGAGCCGCGCCCUGUCUGGCAAGAUGCAGCCAGAACCAUCAUUCCCAAAUGCAUGAACGCUUGGCAAAGAAGAGCAUCAAGUUCUGGGCAGCCAGACAAUUAAUUUAUACUACAAAGGUGCACACUGUUGUCCCUCGUUCUCUCUUUCUUACCCUUGCCUUGCUCUGUUCGAUUAAGCAAGUUUGAGUCUUACUUACCUGGGAGCUACGAAACCAUUUGUUGCUGCUUUUAUCAAGUCAGACAUUGUUUAAUCGAAUGAAUUGCAUCACUCUGUUUGGAGGAACUUUGGCAUCAUUCCUCUCAUGUUCAGAAAUUUUGCAGGUAUCUACGCUGAAACAUUGUUGGCAACAGGCUCCUUCAUGCAGAAUGUGUCUUAAAGUGAAUGAAAUGCAUUGCAUUUCUCUGCUCGCAACGUAUAUAUGAACCUGCUGGGAUCAAGGCCUCUUUGUAACAGUGUACAAACUGUGAUAUACUGAUAUUGAUUGGAGUUCCACUGCUCAACACUGAUUGUGUUAUUUCGAGGAAUUCCCUCUUUCUAAAUAUACUGUGAUAUACCGAUAUUGAUCGGAGUUGCUAAAUACUCCCUCCAUAUUUUAAUGUAUGACGCCGUUGACUUUUUGACAAACGUUUAGCCUUUCGUCUUAUUCAAAAAAUUUAUGUAAUUAUAAUUUAUUUUAUUGUGACUUGAGUUAUCAUCAAAUGUUCUUUAAGCAUGACAUAAGUAUUUUUAUAUUUGCAUAAAAUUUUUGAAUAAGACGAGUGGUCAAACGUUGGUUAAAAAGUCAACGGCGUCAUACAUUAAAAUAUGGAGGGAGUAUAUUUCUACCUCUGACCCAAAGGAUAUGGGGUUCUGUGUAGCAUCUGAUAAACAAUAGGUGGUGCAUACUUCUUUCCACCAAGUGAACCAAACAAAGGUGUGCUCCCUGAUACAUUUUUUUAUAAUUUCCCCCAAUAUAUUUCCCUAGAGUUAUCGUAAUUUUGUUUAUAUGCAUCCAUUUUCAGCAUAUUCAGGUAUGCCAGUGUUUGUGGAUUCAUCCUGCUUCUGAAUCUUGUGCUGUUUCUUAGAUCUGGAGACCUGGAGUUCUGAAGACUUACCAUGAAUCUUUCGCUGGGGACCUGGAGCUGGAGCCGUGCAAGGCCGAGUUCGUGAGGGGGCUACGCUAUGAUUCGCUGCUUCUCGCAGGCCAUGACCGACGCCGUGGUGCGCAACGCCCACGUGAAUGCUACGGCCGGGGUCUUUACUAUAGUGGAAUUUUACAGUUCUUGAGAAAGUACCUUGAGGUACCUAAAUUUUACACUAAAAUUUUUGGUGCCUUGAGGUACUUAGUACCUAGAGAUAUCAAAUUUUACACUAGAAAUAUGGUACAUCUAGGUAUCUUAUGAAGGAUAGUAAAAUUACCCAUAAUACCAUGUAAGCCAUCCGAGGGCGAGGACGAUGCAGACAGCGUGGGAGAUGAGGCUAAGCUGCUAGAGAAAUCAUGGCGCAUGCAGAAGGGGCUUCAUGUGGGCAUGCUGCAGGGUCACUAGCCUCAGUGAGGGAUUUAGUCCUUUUCUUGGUGUGCGGUGAUAGUAUUAAGUAUUCAAUCUUUAACUUGUUUUGUUCAAUCAGGGCAUGAUUCUCCAUGGUUUAGAUUGAAGGGGAUGGAGUAUGGCGUCGGAUUUUAGAGAUUGAUCGCCUGAUGCACUACUGCACGAGCAGUGGUGAGAAUUUAUUUGUUGCUGUACUCCCUUUCUUAUUGUGUUGUGUGUGGACUAACGAUCCACAAUCUCCGCCUGGUUUCCCCCAAUUAGGGCAUGGUUUUACACGAGCUACUUUGUUUUAUUUGAACGGGAACCAAUAUUGUUUGAAUAUGCUUUAUUUUAAAGAGAGAAGAAUGUGCGUUACAGAUCAUUGAAUCACAAUAUAUUUCUUACGAAUAAUCAAUAAUAUUGGUAUAAAUUUCCCAGCGUUUGAUAAUAAUUUGAUUGCAGUUGGCCUGGGCAUAGCUAGACGUGAAGCAGCAUUACGGCUGCGAUUCCGGAGAACAUGCCCUCACGGAAAAAACAUGGAAAGGCACAGGAAUGUUGGCUGGGGCUGUUUGCCAUGCUCACGUAAGUUAUUCACUGAGUUCUUUUCUUUCAUGCAUUUUUCAAACAAAAUUAAUGAGUUUAGCCAAAAAAUUAAGUACCUUUUUUUCUAUCCAAUCUGUUUGAUUGAUGUUGCCCUUCCUAUUCGGAUAGCCACUGAUGCAAAUAUUAUUUUUCUCUCUUGGUGUAGUGUUCAAUGUACAAUAACCCACGAAACAUAGAUGAUAAACAACAUUAAAUGAAUUAGGGUGUUGUUGGAGAAAUAAUACUGAUAUAUGUAGCUAUUCUGUGGCUGUGUACAUCCACUUGGAUGUAGAGGCCAGGUUAUUUAAUCCAUUAUCUAAGAAAAAUGUAGCUAUACAUUUUAUCAGCAGCAAAUGAUUCAAUUUAAUUUAUAUAUUUCCCUCUCUUAUUUUGACUCAGUAUCUCCAAGUAGACCUCAUUUUCAUGGUAGGAAACCUUGCCAUUGGUGAGCUGAUUUGGAAGGCAACAGCUCCAGCUAGAGUAAAGUUCGUGUGGUUGGCUGUUAAAGGCCGGUGCUUAACGGCAGACAUUCUGCUGAAGAGAGGGAUGGCCUCAUGAACCAGUCUACUCACUGUGUCAGUCUGAUUUUGAUGAUUGCAAUCAUCUCUUCACUGCGUGCGCCUACACAAACAGAGUAUGGACCUUACUGCAGGACUGGAUUAAUGUGGAUUUCCACCCGCCCAAGUCACCAUGGUCUUCCACUGGCCGAAUGGUGGCAACAAGCGCGACGUUUGUUUUUCGGGUGAGCUACGGGUAUGCGUUUGAUUCGAGGAUGAAGAUGGAAGAGCAUAUAGUCCUUUAUGACAACGACCCUAAGUAGAGUUCUUCUCAUGGCCAAAUCCUUUAUAAAGAAAAAUUUACGAUAUACUAAUUCUAUGACUAUGUAGGCAAGAUAUCACAAGUAAGUCUAUGAGAUGAAACAAGAUUUUUCUUGGCCUUAGGAACAUAAAGAACACUUUUUCACUGUAAAUCUCAACUAGGGAUCUGAACAACAGAAUUACCAUGUGACUAAUCUCCAUACAUGCACCACUCGCUAUAUGAAUUUGAUCAUUGCCAUGAUAUUUGCCACGAACUAUUAGCUUCUCAAGCUCUCCGGUGACAUGAUUUGUAGCGCCGGUGUCAAGAUACCAAUUGAAAUCAAUGCCGUAGAAUGCAGCAGAACCUGCAAACCUUUCAUCUAUGGAACAUAGUCUUCAUCGAAACGGUACUAGCAAUCUUUUACCGUGUGUCCCCUUUUGUAGCAAAGUUGACACUUGGGCCUGUUGUCGACACCUCCUAUGUUUCUUCGACCACCGCUAGGGCUGCCUCUUCCUCGACUUCAGUUUCCACCAUUGUUUGGAGCACCUUGUCAUUGAUGGGUAAGUCUGAUGCGCGAGUGUUCGCGGUGACCGGGGCGAGCGAACUAGAAAAACCAUCGUGCACUUUGAUGAAAAGCCUGAUUGCCUUCCUGUUUUCUUUGUUGAUGUAGGCCAGCCCACGAUCUUUUUUUUAGACUGGUCACCGGGGGGCGAAAUGCCCACAUGAAUAUAUAACUUCCAACGAUCUUAUACAGGGCAGGUUUCACCUGCAUAAAUGUGGGCGCUGCCGCCGGCACUGCCAUCGGGGGCAGCAUCGCCGGCGGCGGCGAGGCUGCGCGCGCGUAGGAGGAGCGGGGCCUCGGCGACGGUCGCCUCCCGGGUCGCCCUGCAGAGAGCGACACGGGAGUCUCUCUCUCCACCAGGCCAGCCCACGAUCAUUUCCCCUAUUCAUGUUACUUGCAAGUCCAAGUCACAUGAAGUUUUUUUUUUCUUCGAAGGCCCAGUGUAACGAUUUUUAGCAUAAAGAGUUAUCCGUUUCUAUUUUCCCUUUAAAUUUCUGAGAAGUGGUGGGUAGGGGUGAGAAAAUAUUAUACAUAGAAACUUUAUACGAAUACAACUUUAUACAUAGAAAGCCUACGCAUAGAAAACUUUAUACGUAGAAACAUUCAAUGUAUAUACACAUGGACUUUACACACAUAAAAAUUAUAUAUAGAUAUUUUAUACACAUAAACUUUAUACAUAUAUACUUUAUACAGAUAAAAUCUAUGCAUAGAAACUAAAAUUCAUUAGGUAAUAGAAAGUUUUUACAAAUGAGUUUUAAAACAAAUUUGCAUUCCACAUAAGCACAAAAUAUUCGGAUGGGCCAUGAGCCCGUGAGGCCCAUGUAGUUGGAUCAGCGUGCCGCAACAAAUUUCCGAGUCACGUGUCCGAAGCUCCCAGCCACGUGUUUUCCCAUUCGCGGGAUGAGCAACACGCGAACGUUCACGUAUUAACGUUCUCGGUCAUUGAUUGUUGCCGCCGCCACCUCUGACGCCUUGUUGCUGACCCUGGACACAGCUUGCGCUAUUAGCCGAGGCCAGGAUUCUCCAUUCUCCACUCUGGCAAAGUGCUAGCCUCUGCUUGAAGCUUUACUCCCUCCGUUUCACAAUGUAAAACUUUCUAACGUUGUUCAUAUUCAUAUAGAUGCUAAUGAAUUUAGGCAUAUAUACGUGUAUAGAUUCAUUUAUAUAUAUAUAUAUAUAUAUGAAUGUGGGCAAUGCUAGAAAAUCUGACGAUAUGAAACGGAGGGAGUAUCAACUAAGCAAAGGCCUCACUGACGGUCACCUGAUCUGGUCGCCCAACAAUGGACGAGAUUACCGGCACAUAUUCUUCAUCAAGACCAGCAAUGAUAUAGCUGAUCAGAUCAUCAUCAUCAAUGGGUUUGCCGAUGAUUGCAAGUUCAUUAGCCAAAGGCCGCACCUUCCCAACAAACGUCGUGAUGUUCAUGUCGCCCUUCUGCAGCGUGGUGAGGGAGAGUCGCGUGUUGAUUGUUCGUGCCCGAGUCAUGGACCCGAACAUCUCUUGGAUCAUACUCCAUGCCGAGGCUGUUGUGCUACAUGUUGCCACUUGAACAAGUAGAUCUUUAGUCAUGGAGGAAAGCAAAUAUGAAAGCACCUGUUGAUUUGUCGAAAUCCAUUCAUCACAAUCUGGUUUGUUGAUGAUAAUUUCCUUUUCGCCCUCCUUUUCUCGAAGAAUGACAACUGGAGCUUGAUCUGCUCCUAUGAGAACCUUCCAACCGAGCACCCCGAACAAUCACAAGAAUACGCGCCUUCCAUAUGGCAUGAUCCGAGUUUGCAAUUUCGGUUGCACCGGAAUUUCGAUGGUUGCCAAAAAAUUGAAAAUUUCGUGAUUUCCGGGUUUUUCUGACCAAAAUUAUUUGAAUUUUUAACAUAUUGUGACUGAAUUUGAACAAAUUUUGACCAAAUUUACAAAUAUUUGACAAGAAACCAAAAAUUCCGGGGAGAUUUGUGCUUGCCGGUGGAAGCCGAAAUUUCGAACCAAAAUUUCAAACCAUGGGCGUGAUUCGAUUUUCCUAGCUUUUCCGAAAAGAAAGCAGUGAUUGCUGGCAUGAUUCUUCGAGAAACUUCGGGAAAAUGCUUGUAAUCGGCCGUUCGACUGACACGGAAAAAUUGGAUACCACAUCGAUGCCUUCCACACUGUCUACAUGCUAACUCUAGAAAGAUUCGAAUCCGUCAACUGAUAUGGCAAGUUUCACGGGUGCUUCUAUCUGUAAUCAACUAACUGCUAACUCAAUUAUCGUAGCUAUUCAUUCCAACCAUGCAUAUGCAUGUGUCAAUCUUUAAAAUAUUUUUUCUCCUAAACUACUUAUCAAUCUAAAAUCCGAUUACACCAUUGUAUUUAUUGGAAUUAAAUCGUUAUAACAAGAUAUCACAUGUUUAUAUUCCGAUUAAAGAAAAAUAUAAGUUUCAAACUAUUAAUACUUCAUGUUUCAUACGCUAUGUCGAUAUGUUUCAGCGCCUGUUUUUACUGUGUUUCACAAAAUUCUCGAAAAUAAUUGCCACUACCCUCCAUCAAUGCUUGCAUGCAUGCAUUUUAGCGGUCUUUAAAAUGAUUUUUCUUCUAAACUACUUAUCCAAUCUAUGAUUCGAUCAUACCGUUGUAUUCGUUGUAAUUACAUCUUUACAACAAGAUAUCACACGAUUAUAUUUUGAUGAAAGAAAAAUAUAUGUUUAAAUCUAUUAACUCUCGUUGUUUCAUAAGUGAUAGCAACAUGUUUCAACGUGUAUCUUCACUGUGUUUCAUAAAAUUUUUAAUGUUUCAAUUGCUGUUUUUUUUUGUUUCACCAUAUAUAAAUUAAUGUUUCACAUGUUGAUCAGCUGCAACAUUUUGACCGUUCGAUAUUUUUUGAGAUAUCGGAUGUCCGAUUGGUAGUAUUCUCCCAAACUUUGCCAUGGCUUUGCUUGGUGAUGGAGGUAGAUCGGUUUGCUCUGAUACCAUAUCAGGGAAUAAUAGGGGGAAGCGCUGAACCCUGAUAGGGGCCGCACCUUUGUUGAUAUAGGCAGGAAAAGCCUUUGCCGUGGCGCAUUACAGAGGGAACGGAUCACUCUCAACAACCUGAGAUCAAUCCGUAUUAUAGAUAUAAGAUCAAAUGGUUAAAUGUGAUAAUAUAAACCUUAUCUCCAAUAACUAACUUAUCUAACACGGACUGCGCGUGCUCAAUAUUGUCUCCGCUUUGGUUGCCUCCACCCAAUCCCCCUCACACUCUGCCGGCGGCCAAAACCCGGUGUUGGCCGGUGUGGCGGAAGCUGCUCUCCCAUAAGACAGCCGGAUGCGGGCGCAAGAAACUUCACGGAGCAGAGGAAUUUGUCUCGAUCCGGCACAGCUAUACAGUCGAAGAGAUAUCGGGCUUGUUUCGUUUGAUGCCAAUUUUUAUCCUACUAAAAUUUUGGUAACUUAAACAGCGACACAUGCAUGUUUGGUUUGAUACCAAAUUUUGGCUACUAUAGUUCAAAUUCAAUGCUAGAAAAUUUGGUAGUGCCAAAACUUUCCACCAAGAUUUUGGUAGAGUAAAAAUUGACUUUAAAUCAAAUAAGCCCGUCUUCAGCAGCAGCCAUCGGAAGGCACGGCUAGCUCCACCUCCGAAGGUAAGCUCGUAGAUUCCCAGCCCGUGAACAGAAAUAGCCACUAAUAAUUUUGAUAGGCACUAAAAUAAGCAAAUAAUAGAAGCUUAGUUGGUGUUCUGAAUUAUAGCCACCUGCGGCGAUACAAAGAUAAAUUCAAAGUCUUGGACGAUUUAUAUAAUGCACGACAUGACAGCCUAGUAGGGCAUUAUAAUGCACAAAUUGGCACUCUUGCAUAUAUUUUUUUUCCAUUUUUUCUAUGGACGUCCUUAGGAGAGGAAACUUGCUGGAAUUGUUUGUUUAGGUGAAACCAUACAUGCUGCUGUUGGUUUGGUUUAAUUCGGUUGCUGCAGUGGGCGGAUGUUUAUCUUCUCCUUCUGAUCUGGUGCUAGGCUGAUGCCUGCUGUGAUACCUCAGCUGACAUAUGGGGCUUACACUGAGCAUCUUUAGCAACUUGCCAGCUUACACUGAGCAGUUGACCACUUGUUGUUUGAUUGUAUGAUGUGAUUAUUUGAAAUUUGAAGCGCGUCAACUAACAUGAUGUAUCUAAUGCACCCAUUGUCUUAAACAACCCACCCACUUUUUUCUAAUGGAACAAACAGCUCACUUGCUUCUUCUCAUUCCAUUAUCAGUCUCCUUCAACUCCAACUCAUCUUUGUGCCUUGGAUGGUUUUUUCCAAAGACUUAACUCAACCAGCUACACCAUACGCUCAUUCCUCAACCCACCAUUAAUUGUCCUCCAAUCCUUUCUGUUCUGCCAAUACUCCAUUGAUCUCUGAGCUUUGAGCCAUGGCGGAGUUACUAUCGGCUCUUUUGCCUGCCCUCCUGAAGAAAGCAGGUGAGUCUCUCGGCACAGAGUUUAGUUUCAUCGGGGGUAUUGAACGACGGCGUUCGGAGCUGUAUACCUUGCUGCUUGCCGUCAACCAAGUGAUCAAUGAUGCCGAGGAUCAGGCAUCCAAGAAGCCUGCUGUGAAGUCUUGGAUCGCAAAGCUGAAGCUGGCUGCCUGUGAUGCUGAUGACGCCCUUGAUGAGCUGCACUACGAGGAGCUCCGCUGCGAAGCGCUCCGUCGUGGGCAUAAAAUCAAUACUGGCGUAAGGGCUUUCUUCUCUUCUCAUUAUAAUCCUUUACUGUUCAAGUAUAGGAUAGGAAAGAGACUCCAGCAGAUAGUCGAGCGGAUUGAUCAGCUUGUUUCGCAAAUGAAUCGAUUUGGGUUCCUAAAUUGCUCCAUGCCAGUGGAUGAGAGGAUGCAAACCUAUUCCUACGUCGACGAGCAGGAAGUUAUUGGAAGGGACAAAGAAAGAGAUGAAAUUGUCCAUAUGCUUCUAAGUGCCGAGACCGACGAAUUGCUAAUACUUCCUAUUGUUGGGAUAGGAGGACUGGGAAAGACAACUCUUGCACAGCUGGUCUUCAAUGACGUAAAAGUGAAAGCACAUUUUCAAAAGCAUAUGUGGGUUUGUGUGUCAGAGAACUUCAGUGUUCCUGUUAUUGUCAAGGGGAUAAUUGACACCGCAAUUGGGAAUGAUUGUGGACUGAAGUUUGAUAACCUGGAAUUGCUACAGCAACGUCUUCGGGAAGAACUGGGCCAAAAGAGGUACCUUCUUGUACUAGAUGAUGUUUGGAAUGAAGAUAAACAGAAAUGGGGAGCUCUUAGAACAUUGCUUGGUUCUUGUGGAAUGGGAAGUGCGGUG
rnacentral:lncRNA from 1 species